UGAGUGAAGAGGAGUGUGUGGAACGGGGUGAUGCAGAUCCAUGAGCUCCCAGCUGAGGAGGUGACAUUCCUUUUCCUCGCCGAGGCUGAGUUUGCUGCGGGCUCCGGGUGUGAACUGCAGGGGAAUUCCGCAGCUGGGGAGUUCGGGGAUGCCGCUAGAGGGGGAGCUGACAAUGGCUGUGUGUUCCCUGCCGCAGGGAAAACGCGCUGCUCCGGGCAGGGAGCUGGGCGAGCUUGCGGGCGCUUUUAACGACCCACAGAUGGAGGGGGGAAAGUGAUUUUUAAAUUUGUUUUUCUUUUGACUAGAGGUAAGAAAGAGAAAGAUGAGUGCUGCCCUCACCUCCUGCUCUCCAUCUCCCGGGCUUGCUGGGAGCAAAGGGAGAGAGCGAGAAGGGGAGAAGGACCACUGAGCCCUGGCUGCAGGGCGCUGAAGGAAGCUCCCCUGGAGGACCCCAUGAGCACUCCUGCCCCAGGAAGCCCCAGCUCCACUCGUGGGCAUCUUCCGUGGCAGAUGCUUGGUCAGUGAGUGGCCAGCUCCAGCCUGGGGCACGAGUGCUGCCCACAAUCCUUCCAGAGGGAGCCAUGGAACAGCCAAGCUUGGAUCAGCUGCUGCUAUCACACUGGGCUGCUGGGGAGAAAACACUUUCCCGCUUCUGAAGAGCCUCUUUGUUUCUCUCCCAGCCACAAUCUGAGAUCUGGCUUGCAUGAGACAAAGUCUCUCCAGGAAUUUUGGACUCCCAGUGAAAAACUUCUGUUUGAUCAUAAAUAAAGCUCAAGAAGCCUUAUUCAUCAAAAAGAGAAACUUUGUUCUGGCUGCAGAAUAUACUGAGACUCCUGCAGGCUGGAACAACUUAAAAUCCCCUUUGCAGUUGGGACAGCUGGGAAUUGAUCCCCAGGGGGGGAAAUCUAGAGACGACAUGAACUGUGAAGUAUUUUAGGAUGUAAUUAUAAUAUUGUCCAAUGAAUAUCUAGAGAGACAGACUGUGCUGACAGUAGGAGUUUGGGACACCUCCCAGCCCUUAUCGAACAUGCAAUGUGAGUGCAGAUGCUGUCUCUCUGCUAUGAAUCCCACAGCUCUCCAUGGAGGAGCAUCAUUUUGCAUUAAGAUGUCUCUGUGUGGGUCAGAAGUUCAGCAUCUCUGCAAGAUGAGCCCUUCUUCCCCAAGGUUUGAGUGCUGAGCAGGACUCCAUUUGAUAUGGGAUUUCCCUGGGUCAGUGGGAGUCAGCUGUGGUGGCUGCAUCCCCUCUCAAUUUCUUGUGCAUCCCCAGCCAAGUCACCCAUGGUGUGAGAGACAGAAAAUGCCUUGACUCUGCCUAAGUGCUGCACAGCAGCAACAAAAACAUCCUCAUGUUAUCAACACAGUUUUCAGCACAAAUCCAAGACACAGCUCCUGUGAAGAGAAUUCGCUCUGUCCCAGCCAAACCCAGCACACUGCUCUGGAUCGACAGCCACUGACAUCACUCCCCUGGCUGCUCUCUGGCCACAUCUCUUAUUUUUAAGUGCUGGAUAAAGGGCUAUAGCAAAUAUUGCAAAUAAGGAUAAAUAUUUCCAGUAAAAAUUAGCUGUAAUUACAUA